GUCUGUACUCCAUAAAACUCGCUAUAAGUAAUGGUAUUUCAUCAGGAACUCUUAUGGAACAUACAGUGCUUGCUUUAUGGAGACGGUUAAAGGCAGCAGGUCUGCAGGCAACAAGAAGGACCUACUGAGGUCAUUUGAAGGUCAUCUUUACUCAGGAAAUCCUGAAGGACAAUGUGAGGCCAUGAGAUUAAGGCAUGAGGACUUCGCUAUGCACUAGGAGAUGAUCAGCUUUGAAGCUGGAGCUCCAUUCAUUCUGUUUGGCUGCGAUUCCUUCCUGGAGGACGACAUCGGCUGAGAAAAAAAAAAAAAAACGUUCUC